rnacentral:rRNA from 1 species
UACGUAGGUCCCGAGCGAUGUCCGGAUUUAUUGGGCGUAAAGCGAGCGCAGGUGGUUUAUUAAGUCUGGUGUAAAAGGCAGUGGGUCAACCAUUGUAUGCAUUGGAAACUGGUAGACUUGAGUGCAGGAGAGGAGAGUGGAAUUCCAUGUGUAGCGGUGAAAUGCGUAGAUAUAUGGAGGAACACCGGUGGCGAAAGCGGCUCUCUGGCCUGUAACUGACACUGAGGCUCGAAAGCGUGGGGAGCAAACAGG